rnacentral:rRNA from 1 species
UACGUAGGGGGCAAGCGUUGUCCGGAUUUAUUGGGCGUAAAGAGCGUGUAGGCGGCCUUACAGGUCCGUUGUGAAAACUCGAGGCUCAACCUCGAGACGCCGGUGGAAACCGUAAAGCUAGAGUCCGGAAGAGGAGAGUGGAAUUCCUGGUGUAGCGGUGAAAUGCGCAGAUAUCAGGAAGAACACCCGUGGCGAAGGCGGCUCUCUGGGACGGUACUGACGCUGAGACGCGAAAGCGUGGGGAGCGAACAGG